UACGUAGGGACCAAGCGUUGUUCGGAUUCACUGGGCGUACAGGGAGCGUAGGCGGUCGGGUAAGCCCUCCGUGAAAUCUCCGGGCCUAACCCGGAAAGUGCGGAGGGGACUGCUCGGCUAGAGGAUGGGAGAGGAGCGCGGAAUUCCCGGUGUAGCGGUGAAAUGCGUAGAGAUCGGGAGGAAGGCCGGUGGCGAAGGCGGCGCUCUGGAACAUUUCUGACGCUGAGGCUCGAAAGCGUGGGGAGCAAACAGG
rnacentral:rRNA from 1 species